UGGGGAAUCUUGCGCAAUGGGCGAAAGCCUGACGCAGCGACGCCGCGUGCGGGAAGAAGGCCUUCGGGUUGUAAACCGCUUUCAGGAGGGACGAAGCCACUCAGGUUAAUAGCCGAGAGGGUGACGGUACCUCCAGAAGAAGCCCCGGCUAACUACGUGCCAGCAGCCGCGGUAAUACGUAGGGGGCGAGCGUUGUCCGGAUUUAUUGGGCGUAAAGAGCGUGUAGGCGGUUAGGUAGGUCCGGUGUGAAAACUCGAGGCUUAACCUCGAGAGGUCGCCGGAAACCAUCUGGCUAGAGUCCGGAAGAGGAGAGUGGAAUUCCUGGUGUAGCGGUGAAAUGCGCAGAUAUCAGGAAGAACACCAAUGGCGAAAGCAGCUCUCUGGGACGGUACUGACGCUGAGACGCGAAAGCGUGGGGAGCAAACAGG
rnacentral:rRNA from 1 species